GGUUUUAGUUGCAGCACGCGGGAUCUUCGUUGUGGCAUGCAGGAACUUUAGCUGCAGCAUGCUAACUCUUACUUGUGGCAGGCCCUCUGCCUCUUGAAGCCGGUGCUUCCCCGUGUGACUCCCUGUGACAGGGUGCGCCCCCUCCUCUUGGGAACUGUGACUAACAGCCCUGAUGAACCUGGACAAGAGUGAGAUUUUAGCCACUCUGGUUUGUGAUGGAAUCCAAGAUUGAUUCAACAUUCUGCGUUCUCACCUCUCCUGCACUGACUGACCCAAUCAGUCACUAUUUGUUUACUUUGUUUUCCAAGCUGGGCUCUAGCACCAUCCUGGUGGAGGAAGCACCUUAGCAGACUGUCCAAUCUGACUACAAACAUGGAGUAGUCUUUCCUUACUGUUGACACACAGCUAUCAAUCCAGCAUAUAAAUGCUGCUACUUUGUAGCCCACUUUACCCUCUCUCCAGGGCAGCAGGGAAAUGAGGGGUUCCAAAGCAGAGGUCCUAGGGACACUAAGUCAGCACACAGUCUUCAGGCUGACCUCCAUCCACUCACACAGAAACACAAUUCUCUCCUUCAACAAUCAUCAUCCUUGUACCAUUUCAAUGGUGUGAUCUAAUCAUGACUCAGCAUGCUGUUUGUCUAUUGUUAUGUAACAAACCACCUCCAAAUUUGGUGGCUUGAACUGAAAAUAGAGUCUCAAAUAUGU